CAGAACACAAUCUUCAUCAUCACACAACACAAACAACAACAAUGACCUUCAGCAUCAUCUUCAUCUGCACACUGACUCUCUGCAUUCAGAAUAUAUUUGGACAAGUGACAGUGACUCAGGAUCCAGCAAUAAAAUCAGUAAAACAAGGAGAAACUGUUCAAAUCAGCUGUAAAACCAGACAGCUGAUUUCUGGCUGUAGUGACUGUGUUUCUUGGUAUCUGCAGAAACCUGGAGAAGCUCCUAAACUCCUCAUUUAUGACAUAAAAACUCUUCAGUCUGGAACUCCAUCUAGAUUCAGUGGCAGUGGAUCAAACUAUGGAACUGAUUUCACUCUGAGCAUCAGUGGAGUCCAGACUGAAGAUUCAGGAGAUUAUUACUGUCAGAGUUAUCACAACAUCAACAGUAAACGUGUGUUCACACAGUGA